ACAAGUGUUUAAAUAAACAGUCUCAGUUAUUAUUAAACGUAAUAUGUUUUGUGUACAAUUUAAACAGCAUCAAGUAAUUGGAAGCUAUAAUAAGGUAUCGAUGAUCCAGAAGAAAAGAAUCCUUUGAAGUAUUUACCUGUGGAAUCAUUUUUUCUUAGCUAUGUUAUGUUUUUAACCUCUUCGACCUUCGUUGUUUCCAAACUGCAACUGCACCUGCGUUCUUAUCAGCAAAAACAGAUGCCAUCGUAAAUGCCCGUCGCAAAGAACAUUUGUUUCGGCUUAGACGGAGGUCCACACCCUUGUAGGUGGUUGCGACGAGAGAACCUUAACCCUGACCAUCUGGAACGACUUAAAACACCGAGAAUGAGAGAAAGAGAGAGACAAGGAUGAACCCUUCGAAGUCCUUUUCUUUGGCCUCGUGCCCCUUUUCGUGUCCACCUUGAGAUAUACGUGCACGAAAAGGGACGAGUCGGAUCUGAAAGAACGGUCAAGACAAGCCCUGUCCCUAUUCACAGAGUGUGGCUAGAUUAACUCGUAAAUGGGUCUAGAUUAACCUGUGGAUUAUGAAUUCUGUGUCAAACAUCGCCACCAGUCACUUAGCGGGAAAAAAUCCGUAGAUUAGGCGAUUUAACGCUGAAUAACGCCACCAGUUAUCCUAAUAUGGAUAAUCGUCUUCUUUGAGAAAUCCCAGUUAGAUUUGGAAAAUCCAAAUCUUGACUUUCCGCGUCGUUCGCAGAAUUAUCAAGAUGGAACUGCCACACAAAGGAAAGUAAGAAAGAGGAAGGAACAGAGGAAAUGGAAGAGAUCUGCGGAGGAAGACGGAAGGAGAGAGAUGGAAGGCGGGAAUAGUGUAAAGAAGGAAGAGGGUUCGAUGGCGAACGACAUCAAAGAGAAGCGACAACGGAUACGCGUAAACCUCGAAGCUGCAAAUGCCGAAAAACCGACAGAAGUUCGAGAUUUCCUGUUCUCAAGCUUUCAGCGCAUACGAACGGAGGAGAGAGUUGUUCGUAACGCGAGGGAAAAAUGAUGGACGCCGUGAAGACAAACGGAUACGGAUCACCGUGAUUUGUCGGCAGUGCAGAGCGAUCAUUUGUCACGACCUUUAAUUGCAGAUGACACGAGGUGUCAAGAAUUAAAGGGCAGUGAAGAGUUAUUGCGAUAGAGUGACGAAGAAAGCAAAGGACGAAUUCGUGUCACACCUUGCCACAAAGAUCAGUCCCGUGGAUCGAUAUUCCAGUUCCACCUCCUUCCUCGUUCAGAUCGCGGUUUUCGAAAGCUCGUGAAGGAAGGACGAUCGUUCCAGAAUAAUCGUACGGCCAUGGAUCUAGAAACGAACGAUUCUAUAAAACGAAUUCCGUGUCGGUGGGUGGCAAAGGAUCGACGAAAACGUAUAUAGGAAUAAUCGUUGGAGGAAUUCAUGCAGAGCCGCCGCAACCCGACAGAGAUAAUGGCGUCGAGCUGAAAAUGCGACGCAUGGAAACGAUGUCUGUUGUUAUUUUACGGGGGUGGAAUACCGGGCCGACGGUUAAACCGAUUUGCACAUCGGAUGCACUCUCGAUUCCUCGAACAGCGGACAAUUUCACAGGGUUCUCUAUUUACGCUGCUACCUCCACCAUACUCUACCCUGCUCGUUUACGUAUUUUCCUCUUUCCGGUAAAUGCAUUACGUUUAUCUAUUUUCCAUUCUUUUCUUCGAACUUGUAUCAUUCGAGGACCAAGAAAAUUGUCUCUCUUCUUUUUUAUUGGGAUACAAUGAAACUUGAGAAAUUGAAUGAUCGAUCGCGAUUCGUCAGUGUCUCGUAUCGAAAUAACGAAAGAUAUUUCAUUCACGGAACGUCGAAAUUCACGCGACCCGUGUGCGUUAUAUCGUGGACAACAAGAAGAGCAGUUCAUUCGCUCGUCUAGUUGAGUGCUCGAGGCUUCCCUUUCGCACUGACAAGAUGCAGCUUGCAUUCGGACGUCACGUCGACGUCCGAACACCAGUCGUCGUCGACCAUUAAAUCGUUUUCUUCGUUGCUCGACAAUCCUGGCCUCGCAUAGUUACCUCAAAAAUCUCCAACAUGUUGCCAUGUCGCUUUCGUACCUCCGCAAAAGAAACUAGUCCACCGAAUGAAAUUGUUCAACAAUUUUAAUUCCAAGCUGAUUAAUUACCGUUCUAUAAAAUGCUUAAUUUAGGCGAAAUAUUUUUUUCUAUCUCAGAUCGAAAGACUUAAAUAGAAAAUUCGAGGUAUUCGAAGGCGAAAGGUAUUCGUGGGCAUCGCGGUAUCGGCAACGUAAUAAUAACGCGGCAUCUCCUUCGUUUCUCGUCGACGAAGGGAGACGUUCUAACGAUUUUAAUAAAUUUGGCGCUGGCUAAGCUGCAACAACAGCUCGGGUAUGAAUUAAGAGGGCCGAAACACCGCUUGGAUAAACAUCUCGAAUUAGGCACCGGGAUUCUUUUCCGUCCAUCCGCGUGCACCGGGAGCUUUACGACUUCGGUAUGUUUCGGCUGACGUGGCUUGAUAUGUAUAUGAGCGGUUAGCAGGCCGCAAAGUUGCGGUAAUGGACGAGAUAUUUUACAACUGAGGGAUGUUCCAAAGAUUAGCUUCAUCCUUUGCCGCGAUCUUUUCUAAUCUCUGAUAAGACUGUCCUCUAAUUAAUCGUGUCGAAAUUGAUUAUUAUUUCUCGCCCCGUAGGUUCGUCGUAGGAAUUUAUUUCUAGUUGGUUGCUUCGAUGUCUUCGGGUAAUGAAAGAAAAAAAAUUCGUGAAAUUAGACCACCAUGGGUGGAGUAUCCCUUCGAAAGCACGACAAUGCUACAAAAUGGUCUCGAAUUAUCGACUAUUCCGGUGGUCUGAAAUCUUAUUGAAAGCGAUCGAAAUCCCCGCUGAAUCCCUGCCAUUAUGUUCGAAGCUCGUGGUCGUAUCCAAAGUGAUUCGCUGCCGUUUUGAAUCCAUCGCUAGAAAAUCAUGUAGAAAAGAUUUUUCAUGGGCAUCGACAUAGGCCUGCUGGCACUUGUCGGAGAGGAAGAAAUUCCUCGGGCGGAUUAGCUCGAUUCGACACGAAUUCGAUUCCCUUUUGUGAUUCGACCCAGACACGGUGAUGUUGGGCAAACAGGUCAUCGGGUUUCGAUGAUGUUGAAUCGGCUAGGAUAAUUCAGUUGAAUGGAUCCUGUGAACCGAAUCGCGACACCUUCCUUACGAUUAUCCUUCGUCAAAGGAUCACUGACAAUCUUAUUACAGAUUAUCCAAUCUUUCAGAUAAACGCGAAACAACAUUUCUUAAUUUCUCUUUUUUCCAAUUUCAUCAGUGUUCGAUGUUCAACUACGAGUUUCAUCGAUUCGGACUAAGAAAUUCUUUUUUUUUUUCUACUCGGACCGACAGGUGCAGUAGCCUUCACCCGCGGAUAUUAUUUCUGUCAACCUUGGCCGUGUUUAUCUGCAUACAUAUUUGACCAACUCCUGCCGUGCAGGUCCAUCGCCUAGGUCGGCAGAGGGAGCGUAUUACCUGAAGAAGCAAUCUCUGUCGCAUGAAAUAACAUUUAGGCUGGACUGCCUGCUCUACCACCUCCCUGUUUGUUUCCACCUAUACCUGGACACUGUGUUACGUGCUUUCCGCGUGUAUAAAAGUAUCCUGACUCGAGGAUGAUCCUCCAUGUUUAGCAUUAUCACUUGUUCUGUUGCAUGUCUCCUAAUUUCUGUGUGCGUUUAGUUGUAGUGGAAGUUUCUUCAGGUAUGUGGAAAUAAGUAGAAGAAUUUAAUUAUCAUUUCGAGUCAAAGGGUUAACCAAGGUUCUUUGUGUGUCUACCAGUAGUAUUCAGCAUGGUUGACAUCCUAAAGAUCACACAGUUAGCCAUUACUGAACUAUUAGAGGUUUGUCAACGUAGAUCCUUUUGGAUGACACUUUGAAGGGUACCAGGUACCUGGACUCUGUUGGUUCUGGUAGCGUUUGCAGAGCGGUUCUACCUACGCAAAGCACAUAAAAUAUUAGAACUUACCUACCUAUAUUG